GACGAACGCUGGCGGCGUGCUUAACACAUGCAAGUCGAGCGGUAAGGCCCUUUCGGGGGUACACGAGCGGCGAACGGGUGAGUAACACGUGGGUGACCUGCCCUCAGCUCUGGGAUAAGCCUGGGAAACCGGGUCUAAUACUGGAUAUGACUCCAUGACGCAUGUUGUGGGGUGGAAAGCCUUGUGCGGCUGAGGAUGGGCCCGCGGCCUAUCAGCUUGUUGGUGGGGUGAUGGCCUACCAAGGCGACGACGGGUAGUCGGCCUGAGAGGGCGACCGGCCACACUGGGACUGAGACACGGCCCAGACUCCUACGGGAGGCAGCAGUGGGGAAUCUUGCGCAAUGGGCGAAAGCCUGACGCAGCGACGCCGCGUGAGGGAUGACGGCCU
rnacentral:rRNA from 1 species